rnacentral:rRNA from 1 species
AACGAACGCUGGCGGCGUGCCUAACACAUGCAAGUCGAACGGAGAUAAGGGGCUUGUUCCUUAUUUUAGUGGCGCACGGGUGAGUAACGCGUGGAUAAUCUGCCUGAUGCUCUGGGAUAACAUCUCGAAAGGGGUGCUAAUACCGGAUAAGCCCACGGGAUCUUCGGAUCUUGCGGGAAAAGGAGGGGACCUUCGGGCCUUCCGACAUCAGAUGAGUCCGCGUCCCAUUAGCUAGUUGGUGGUGUAAUGGACCACCAAGGCGACGAUGGGUAGCUGGUCUGAGAGGAUGAUAAGCCCCACUGGAGCUGAGACACGGUCCAGACUCCUACGGGGGGGAGCAGUGGGGAAUUUUGCGCAAUGGGGGAAACCCUGACGCAGCAACGCCGCGUGAGUGAUGAAGGCUUUCGGGUCGUAAAGCUCUGUCAGAAGGGAAGAAAUGUGGGUGGCUAAUAUCCAUUCCACUUGACGGUACCUUCAAAGGAAGCACCGGCUAACUCCGUGCCAGCAGCCGCCGCCGUAA